rnacentral:ncRNA from 2 species
AUAUAAACUUGUUCAAACGGUCUCCGGGUAGGAGAGAAUAGGGAAGCCGGUGAAACGCCGGCACGGACCCACCGCUGUAAUCCUCCCUUUUUCAUAACGAAAAAGGACCCUUUCAGCCGAGUGUGCCACUGUUCUGGUUAUGAAUGGGAAGGCCGCUGAAAGGAAGAGAGAGUCAGAAGACCUGCCGUCUGAACUUACGUUUG